rnacentral:rRNA from 3 species
GUUGAUAGGCCGGAUAUGGAAGCACGGUAACGUGUGGAGUUGACCGGUACUAAUAGGCCGAGGGCUUGUCCUC